UACAGAGGUCCCAAGCGUUGUUCGGAUUCACUGGGCGUAAAGGGUGCGUAGGCGGUCGGGUAAGUCUGACGUGAAAUCUUCAAGCUUAACUUGGAAACUGCGUCGGAUACUAUUCGGCUAGAGGAAUGGAGGGGAGACUGGAAUACUUGGUGUAGCAGUGAAAUGCGUAGAUAUCAAGUGGAACACCAGUGGCGAAGGCGAGUCUCUGGACAUUUCCUGACGCUGAGGCACGAAAGCCAGGGGAGCAAACAGG
rnacentral:rRNA from 1 species